ACACAGAAUACCAAUGACUCUUAGACUCAUUCCCGGGCCUCCGGCUGACCACGGGAAAGGGGAUCUUCAGGAGCGGGUGUCUCAUGGCUGGGAAGAGGACGGCACAGGAGGGCUGGGGAACCCGAAUUGCAGCCUGAAUGGCCAGUGUCCUUUCUCCAGAAUGCAGUUCUCCCUUGCUCAGAAGAAAUGAGUCUGCCAGUGGGUACAACAUGAGAUGAUACUUCCACCCCCAUUGGUGACAGCCCUCACCUAGCUAUCAAGACAGUGUUCGACUUCCUUCACUCCUUCCAGGGGCCAGCAUGUGGCUGGCCACUGUCCACCCUCAGGGGUUGUGAACUGAAUUAAAGGGUUGCGUCCUUCAUCCAUUUUCUUUGCUGAACUGUCUUGAAUUUUACCCUAAGUUCAAAAUGAAGCAGACCAUAGCUGAGUUUAAAGGAGAUCCGAUUGACAUUGGGAAGUGGCACCCAAUAAGAUGGCUGUUUCUUCCGCCUGCUCCAGGGCUCGCCAACAGGAGAACUGAAAGCUGAAGCAUCUCAACCUGCAGAUACAUCUCAAAGGCCCCUUCAGCCGAUGUCCUCAGUGCCCUUGACACAGCCCCUUGGCACUUGCCUUCCACACACAUGCUGCUGCACCAGUUUCCUCCUGGUAGCAUCUUCCUUUCCGCCUGAGGAUUUCCCAGGCAUCCUGCCUCCAAGAAAGUCAGAAGUCAGUGCCUUCCUGAGAGCCGGUGAGAGCUCCGUCUCCCUUGGGCAAGUGGUGCUGAUGCCUGUUCCCUGCAUCCAUCUCUCAGAAGCCACAGCAGAACUGAGCUCCAGGGGCCACUGCGAGAAGCAUUUAUGGAGCUCGUGGAGUGAGGCAUCUCUUUAAUCCCUUCAGUAAGUCAGUGUGGGCCAAGGAGUCUGAGGAUCAGAGACCUUGUGACUUUUUAAGUGAAGAUUUACUAUGUGCUGGGGCCCAUUGUGUUUUAUUUUAUUGACUCGUCCCAAGCUCUAAGAGGGAGAGACCUUGAUUGUCCCAAUUUCACUGACACAGUUUGGGAAGGUUAAAACAUGAUGAAAGGAAAUAGACUGGAAUGAUACAGUAAUAUGGAAUUGAGCAUUUUCACCAACAUUUUUACAUGUUUUAAAAUGUCAUUUUCUGGCCAGGGGUGGUGGCUCACGCCUGUAACCCCAGCACUUUGG
rnacentral:lncRNA from 1 species